rnacentral:rRNA from 1 species
AGAGAGAGCCAUAUCACCCUGAACACACCGGGUCUCAUCUGAUCUCGGAAGUUAAGCAGGAUCGGGCCUGGUUAGUACUUGGAUGGGAGAGACAUCUGCAGUACUUGCUU